UCAUUCUAAUUGGCCCUUGUGGAAUAGUUACAGUACUCCACUAGAAAAUACGUCUGGUUGCAAAUACAAUAAGUCCUCCACCAUAAUUCUUGCUGAAUAUCAUUUGCAUAAAUGCAAAAAGGGAUAUUAUAAGUUUAAAAUAAAUAUUACAAUGCCAAAAUCUAUGUUACAUUGAACACAGAAGUUGGUAGCAAAAAAAUCAAAAGGAAAAAAUAAUUAGUAGACCUUCUUUUGCAUCAACAUAGAGCAAAAAUUUUUGACUUCUGGCAGCACAGCGUGCAUUGUUGGAAAAACACGAAGCAUCAAAUCUAAACCUUCCUGUUAAGUAAAAAUGUACUAUCAUGGGGUAAAAAGAUCUACACCAUAGAAAAACUAAUUUUUCUAAAACUAAAUAAUCUAAGUUUACUUUUAUUUGUCUCGUUUUCAGCAUCAAACAUUUUGUCAAAUGAGAACCAGACCUCCACUCCUUUUCCUGUUCUACAGUUCUACACUGCAAAGAUAUCAUCAUACUCAAAAUCAGUUUUUGCUUCUUUAGAUAUACAUUUGUUUAAUCUACAUUGCCAAUGAGAAAAUACCUGCAUUUUCAGGGAAUUUACACAUUUUACUAUUGAUUCAAGCUUCACAGGAUGUCUCUUUAUUGAGGCAUUGCUCUAUUCUUGACAGAAUUUGAACAAGAUCUAUCCUUGAUUACUAAUGGAUCUUCCAAAGAUUUGUUAGCUUUAUUUAUAGAUUGCUUUCCAUUUGCUGGCCUCUUUGUGCAAUUCCUUGUGCCAUUAAAAACACCAUCUAAUGAUAAUAACCUUCGACUAGACGCAAAUGUAGUUAGAGAUUGUGAGGGCAUUAGCAAUAAUGAAGCAGAAUUAACUUCUAUUUGGUAUAAAGAUCUUGAGCUCUUGUAGUAGUAAUCAACGCAUCAUUGAAUGAACCAAUCGAAUCCUCUGAAUUUGUCCGGGACGCUAUGUAAACAUCUCCCUGAGAGAGACCUUGUCUAAAAUACACAACCUGUUCCUCGAGUCAAACAACCUCAUUUUCCAAAACAGCCAAUUCAGCUAGAAGUUCUAGCUGUCUNGCUUCUUGUAUGAUCACUGGCAUCAAGGUGGAGAUCUGUUGGGCUGUGAUGCCAUUUGAUCCAGUCCAACUGUUAGGCAAUGAUGAAAAGGCCCAAAUUGGAUUUAUUACUUGGUCCAUUAAAUAUAUACCUAGAAGGCCCACUUAACCGAGCCCAAUAUCCAGCCCACACACCAUUAGUCGCUCUUGGACUGUUGGAUUGACCCGCUGAUCAACGGUUGAUGAUAUUUACUAUAAAUAUCCUCCUUACUCCCUGUUUGGCUCUUGGAUCGUCACUUUCUAUUUUUUCUUCUUUCUCUCUGCCGUUUGGAACCUUCGAGUUCCUUUGUCUGUGUGACCCUUCCUUCUUCUCUUUGUGAGGUUUCUGGUUGAUUAUCUUUGUGAUAAUCGUGUUCUUGUGUGAUUCUCCUUUGUGUGAGUGAUCAACCGAAGGUAGGCAGUUUGAUUUCUUGAGUCCAGUGAAGUGACCUUGGUGUGUUGGGUUGUGAGGGUUCGUUUUGAGUCUCGGUGCCUCUGUGAUGGUAAAUGGGUGUGGUCUGAGCCUUCGAUUGAAAGAUCUAAGCCUUGAUGUUGUGAUUUAGGGUUUAUGGUGUAAUCUGCGAUUCUAUGAUUUCAUCUAUGUUUUCUUGGAUUCAGUUGGUAAUAAGAAUGAACCUGAAUUAACUUAAAUUUGGUAUAAAGAUCUUGAGCUCUUGUAGUAGUAAUCAACGAAUCAUUGAAUGAACCGAUCGAAUCCUCUGAAUUUGUUCGGGACGCUAUGUAAACAUCUCCCUGAGAGAGACCUUGUCUAAAAUACACAACCUGUUCCUUGAGUCAAACAACCUCAUUUUCCAAAAUAGCCAAUUCAGCUAGAAGUUCUAGAGUCCACAACAUUACACCCACACAAUCACAGGUUCAUAAGAUUGAUUACAAUAAAGUAUGGUGAACCUGUCAUUAGUCUCCAAUUUCCAAUUUACUUAACAAUAAUUCCCAAUUACGCCAUUAGUCCUUUUGCCUAUGCCAAACGAAAACUAAUCAAAUCCAAUAUAGUAGUAGUAAAGGCAGAGAGACAUAUCUAGAUGAAUGUGGAAUUCAACUAAUAGGAAAUUCUCGGUACACAAUACUCGAUUACCUUCUUUAGUAUACCAAACAUGUCGAUACUUAAGUAUUUGAGGGAGAUACGGAGGAAGACAAGGUAGUGUUCCUAAGGGUCUAUAGAAAGCCCUCUCUGAAGCUCUAUGAACAUUUUCUUCAUGCCUUAAUUCAGCUUAUCAACCUGCCAAUUAGAGAAAAAGAUAAAAGUUAAAAAAAUGAAAGUUAAGCUUAAUUUUGUAAAAAUUGGAGAACUUGAGUACAUCUUAUUGUAAGGUCCAUUUCGUUGAUUUGUUGUAGCUUUCCCUAUAGUUUAUAAUUUCCUUCUCUGCAAUUUUAUCUUCAUUCCCUUCAAGGAUUUAGAUAUCAAUUCAUAAGUACAAUUGCCAAGAAAAAAUAUUAAUUUCUUGAAAGAUAAGAAUAAAUUGGGCAAAUUCUUGAUUAGUGAACAAUAUUUCCAAUUUAAAGGAGAAAAAUUUGAGAAAAAUAAUUAUAUACUUACAUUUUGAGGAUGUUGUGGUCCUUUCUUAAAAUUAUGACAUAUAACCAAUGGAUGUCAAGGAAGAUUAUUGCUGAUUAACAUAUGCAUCAAUUAACAUUCAUAACGUAAAAAUAUUUAUAACUCAUUCUAAUCAAAAUAAUCAUCCUCUGGUAAAGUAAAAUUCAACAAAUAAAAAAAAAAAAUCAACAAAUCAAACAUGUAUUCAUCAACUGACAAGAAUUUAUGAUCCCACUUAUGCAUUGCAAUGAAGAAAUCAGUAUAAAAGUUUAGAAAUCUUAAAGAUGAACUAACUUGAUUUCUCAAAAUAACCUUAAAAUCCGGUUCUUGUUCCCAAAGCCAGCCCUACCGGGAAGGAUAAUGCGGCCUUUUUUUUUCUUCUUAGAAGAACCUCUACCAGCCAGAGUUGGUCCUUCAUCUCAGCUCUUUGUGCCUAGUUUUGCAGGGCACACAGGGCCUCUGAAACUUUAGAAAUCACAGCUGCAAUAUUAGCCAUCUUCUUCUUCCCAGGAGAGUCCACCUCUGUAUGAGUUUAAUCCCAUCGGACAACUGUUGGCCAGCGACAGCAACAUUCACCUAGCCGCCACCGGACUUGACUGUCGCCUCCCAGUGGGUGAUGGCUGUCGGUAGUAAUAAACCAGCAAAAAUUACUAUAAUUUUAUGAAGAAAUAAGGCAAAUAGAGGAACUCACAUGUGAAGAGGCCACCAAACGGUUCAACUAUUAGCUUCUUCAAACAGAUCUUGCACGAAAGGUUACGACUAUGUUUAUAAAACUGAAUAAUCAAUGGCUUUUGGGGUGCCCUGGGAGAGAAAGGGAAAGGGAAAGGGAAAGGAAAAGUGAAGACGGUUUCUCUCUUGUUGACUGGCUUUUGGCUUCUCGAUUAGAGAAGGUGUAUGCGGAUAUUUAUUCAA
rnacentral:lncRNA from 1 species